CCACAGGAAUGGCAAAUCAUAUGAACAAUACUGACGAGGGGAUAAAGGACUCUGGAGGUCAUCUUACAGACGGAAUGGAAAAUCAUAUUAAUAAUACUGACGAGGGGAUAAAGGACUCUGGAGGUCAUCUUAUAUACGGUGAGACUGCAUUUGGAUUAUGGUGUGUGGUUCUGGGUCUCCACACUCAGGAGGGUUUUCAAUAAGCUGGAGGGGGUUUUGUGGCAGAAAUGACGUUGCUGGAACUGUGAGGCUUUGAGAUACAGGGGAAGACUGGAUAGGAUUGAGGCUGAGCGGUGAUCUUGUCGAUGUUUAUAGCAUUGACGGGCUUCGAUGAAGUGAAUGGUUACAGUCUUUUCCCCAGGGCGGGGAGUCUGAAACUAGAUGGCAUUGGUUUCAGGUGAGAUGGGAAAAGUUUGAAAGUGCAGUUCAUUGCCCUGAGCACAAGUCUGGUGAGAUACAACGAUGUUGCCAGGUCUGGAGGACCUGGAAUCCAUGGAAAGACUGAAUAGCUUACAACUUUAUUCCCCAUCCUCUCUCUCCCCAUUCUCUCUCACCUCCACCUCCCCCCCCACCCUAUCUGAAUCCCUCACUCUUCCCCCAACUCUCCGUCUCCCCAUUUAUCUCUUUGCUUGUCUCUCUCCCCCCUUGCUGUCUCUCCUCACUCCUCUCACUUCCCAUACUCUCUCUCCCAUCUCUCCCUCCAGCAUUCCCCCAUGUCUCCGCCCCUCCCUCCACCCCUCUCUCUCUCGCUCACCUUUCCUCUCCGCUUCUCUCUACACGCUCUCUCUUCCUCGAUUUGUACCCACCUCUCUUCCCCUCUCUCUCUUUACCGACAUCUCUCUCCACCCUCUCCCCACCUUCCCCAUUCCUCUUCCCCUCUCUCACACCCUCUCUCCCAACACACACUUCCCCCACAUGCUCUCCCCGUCUCUCCUCUCACUCUCCCCUCCUCAUGCUUACUAUCCCCACCCUUUCUUUCCACUCCCUCUCAACCCCAACUUUCUCCCACCUCUCUGUCCCUCUCUCUCUUGCUCUUCCCUUUUCCCACACACCCCAGUCUCCCCCACCCCCAUUUCUCUCUUCCCCUUCUUACCUCUCUUUCCUUUUUCUCUCCCCCUUCUUUCUCUCUAUCCACACACCGCUCUCUUCCCACACCUCUCUCUCCCCACCCUCUCUCUGCCCUAUAUCUCUUCUCUCACUCUCUCCCCAUACCUGUCUCUCCCGUAUCUCUUCCCCACAACCCCAUCUUGCCACUCUCUCUUACCCCACUUUCACACACCUGUUUUCCCUUCCCACCCUCUCCCUGUACAUCUCUCUACCCAUCUCCCACUCUUUUUCUCCCUCUCUCUCUCCCCCUCCCCUCCUCUCUCUCCCCAUCCCUCUCUCUAUUUUCCCACCCUUCCUCUCUGUUCCCACCGUAUCUCUUUCCCAAACCUAUCUCAGUUCCCAUUGUAUCUCUUUCCCUAUCCUCUGUCUUCCCCAUCACUCGAUUCCCUGUCACUCUCUUUUCCUAUCUCUAUCUCCCCCGACUUCUCUCUCCCCACACUCUCUGACCCCUGUCUUUCACCCCCGCCUUUCUCUCUCCCUCCCUCUCUCCCUGUCCCUCUCCCGCUCUCCCCCUCUCUCCCUCCCUCUCUCUCUCUCUCUCUCCCCCUCCCUCCCUCUCUCCCUCUCUCUCUCAUCUCCUUCCUUUCCACUGGUAAACUCCCUUAACCACACACCCACUUGAGAAAUUAGCAGGCACAUUGCUUCUUCAGGCCAGAGACGAGGUGGGUGGCGUGGUCUUUGGGGACAUUGAGGGUUGUAGAAAUGUCUUUUCCCUUGGACAGGAGAGUCUGAAUCCAGAGGGCAUAGGUGUAAGAUGAGAGGGGAAAAGUUCACAAGUCAGGUGCAGUUCAUUGCCCUGAGCACAAGAAUAGUGAGAUACUGGAAUAAUGAAAGAGAAGAUUUACAACAAUAUUGCCAGGUCUGGGGGACCUGAGAUCCAUGGGAAGACUGAACAGGUUUAAGGUUUGUUCCCUGGAAUGUAGAAGAUUGAGAGGAGAUUUGAUAGAGGUAUAUGAAAUUACAGAUAGGGUCAAUGCCAGCAUGCUUUUUCCACUGACAUUUGUGGACUGCAGCCAGAGGUCAUGGGUUAAGGGUGAAAGGUGAAAAGUUUAAGGGGAACUUGAGGGGAAACCUCUUCACUUGGAGGGUCGUGAGCGUGUGGAAAGAGCUGCCAGCACAAGUGGUGCAUGCGAGCUCGAUUUCAACACUUAAGAGAAGUUUGAAUAGGUACAUGGAUGGGGCAUAAUGGUAUGGAGGGCUAUGGUCCCAGUGCAGGUUGAUGGGAGUAGGCAGUUUACAUACUCAGCAGGAACUAGAUGGGCUGCAGGGCCUGUUUCUGUGCUGUGCUUCUCUAUGACGAUCCUAGUAGCAACACAAACACUUUGUGUAUAUUUCUUGGAUGAAGUACAAGCAGGGUGGACAAAGUACAAGCAGUGGCUGUCAUUUACUUGGAUUUUCAGAAGGCAUUCGAUAAGAUGCCACACAUGAAGCUGUUUAACAAGAUAAAAUCCUGUGGUAGUACAGGAAAGAUACUGGCAUGGGAAUAGCCAACAGGCAGGAGGCAGUGAUUGGGAAUAAAUGGGCCUUCUCUGGUUGUCUACCAGUGACUAGUGGUGCUCCUCAGGGGUCAGUAUUGGGACCGUUACUCUUCACAUUGUUUGUCAGUUAUUUGGAUAAUGGAAUUGAUGGCUUUGUGACAAAGUUUAUGGAUGAUAUGAUGAGCGGAGGAGUAGGUAGUGUUGAGGAAGCAGUGGACAGAGGGGAACAGGUGAGUGUUAUUUUACUUGGAUUUCCAUAAGGUGUUCAAUGAGGUGCCACAUAAAAGACUUAACCAUAAGAUAAGGAUGCAUAGAGUUGGAGGUGAGGUAUUAGCAUGGAUAGAGGAUUGGUUGUCAAAUAGAAAACUGAGAGUUGGGAUACAUGGGCGUUACUCUGGUUGGCAAUCAGUGGUGAGCGAUGUGCCACAGGGUUUGGUGCUGGGCAUACAAUUGUUCAUGAUACACAUUCACUCACGAUCUGGAAGAGGGGACUGAGUGUAGUGAAUAUAAGUUUGCUGAUGAUGCUAAUUUGAGUGGAAAAGCAAAUUGUGCGAAGAUACAGUGAAUCUGUAGAGAGAUGUAAGUGAGUGGGCAAGGGUCUGGCAGAUGGAGUACAAUGUUGGUAAAUGCGAGGUCAUCCAUUUUGGGAGGACAAAUGAAAGAGCGGGUUAUUAUUUAAAUUGUUAAAAAAAUGUAGCAUCCUGCCAUGCAGAGGGAUUUCACAGUGCUUGUGCAUGAAUCACAAAAGGUUCAGGUGCAGCAGGCUCUCAAGAAGGCAAAUGAAAUGUUGGUCUUCACUGUUAGAGGAACUGAAUUUAAGAGCAGGGAGGUUAUGCUGCAACUGUACAGGGUACUGGCGAGGCUGCACCUAGAGUACUGCGUGCGGUUCUCGUCUCCUUACUUGAGGAAGGAUAUACUGGCUUUGGAGACCAUAUGGAGGAGGUUCACCAGAGGGGCAUUAGACUGAGCAGAGACUGUCGCCAGGGACUGUACUCGCUGGAAUACAGAAGAAUGAGGGGAGAUAAUAUAGAAGCAUAUAAAAUUAUGAAAGGGACAGAUAAGAUAGAGGCAAUAAUGUUGUUUCCACUGGUAAGUGAGACUACAAUUAGGGGACAUAGCUUCAAAAUUUGGGGGAGUAGAUUUCGGACAGAGAUAAGGAGGAACUGGUUUUCCCAGAGAGUGGUGAAUCUGUGGAAUUCUCUGCCCAAUGAAGCAGUGGAGGCUACCUGGGUAAAUACAUUUAAGACAAGGUUGGAUAGAUCUUUGCAUAGUAGUGGGAUUAAGGGCAAGUAGGUGGAGAUCAGUCCAUGGCCAGCUCAGCCAUGGUCUUAUUGAGUGGUGGAGCAGGCUCGAUGGGCCAGAUAGCCUACUCCUGUUCCUAUUUCUUAUGUUCUUAACGCUCCGUGCAGAUGGACUGGACUGUAUCCACUACUUUCUGUAGGAUUUUCCAUUCAAGGGUGUUGGUGUGGCAGAGAGAAAAAAUGUCAUGGCCCCAUUGCUGAGGAUCCUUGAUGCUGCCUUCCUGACACAGAACUCCUAACGAUGCUGGUGGAGGUUGGGGGGGUGUGGGGUGGGGGGGCGAAGUGGGCUGUGUCUGCAAACAACCAGGCCGUGUCCACUGCUGACAAGCUGAACCUUAACCUCCCGAAGCAGUGGGUCUGGCAUGUUUGGGGACAUUGAGGGUUAUGGGACUGUCCCACUGAGGGAUGGUCAGAGUGCCUUUGGUAGAGGGCCCUGGAACAGUGAAGAAAAAUCACUGCCGAUCGUAUCUCUGCUUCUCUUCCCAGGGAUUGAAAAUCACAAAAACAAUACCAACGAGGGUGAAAAGUCAUCAAGAAAUCGCUUUACACUUGGAAUUCCUCUGGGAUUCGUGAUCUUUAUCGUGCUGGUCUUGGUGAUUGUUGCCAUCA